rnacentral:ncRNA from 2 species
CGAUGAGGUAGAGGUCGCAGUUUUUAAUAGUAAAACGGAAGAGAUCCAGAGAAUCCCUGACGCCGGUUGAAAGGAAAAACUGCCGAAGUGUGCUUCAUCUCUAUUGAAGUAUGCUGGGGCUGUAUCCGAAUAGGAACAGAACUGUCACGAUCGGUCCGACAAGCCAGUCGUGUUGAGCUAUCUGUCGG